GCGACAGUAGCUCAGUGGGUGAGCUUCCGCUUCGUACGCGGGAAGACUUGGGUUCGAUUCCCGGUUGCUUCC
rnacentral:tRNA from 1 species